rnacentral:miRNA from 1 species
AAAAGUUUGGUUGGGUUUUUCU